rnacentral:lncRNA from 1 species
GUACAUGAGCCUUGGGUUUUGUUUAAAGCACCAACUCACAACUCUGACUCAAAGAAUACUUAUCGGGAGCAACUAACUACAUGAAAUGCAGAGAUGCAUGUAUCUGGCAGCUUCCUGGCAACCCCAGAUCUCUGAUCUAAUUUUAUUCCUGCGAAGUUUGGAUUUAGAAGAAAAUGCGCAGCAGCCUCACUGGGGAGAAGAAGGCUGGAGGAAAAUGAAGGAUUCCAGGAGAGAAGAAAUCACAUAACAUAGCCACUCAAAUAAGUUGAAAACAUCUAUCUACAGAAAAACCUGCACAGAGGUAUUUACAGCAGCUUUGCUCUUAAUUGCCCAAACCAGG